GACCGCGUAGCUCAGUUGGCAGAGCAUUGGGCUAGUAUUCCAAAGGUCGUAGGUUCGAUUCCCACCAUGGCCA
rnacentral:tRNA from 1 species